AACGAACGCUGGCGGCAGGCCUAACACAUGCAAGUCGAACGCCCCGCAAGGGGAGUGGCAGACGGGAGAGUAACGCGUGGGAACAUACCCUUCGGUUCGGAAUAGCUCAGGGAAACUUGGAUUAAUACCGGAUACGUCCGCAAGGAGAAAGAUUUAUCGCCGAAGGAUUGGCCCGCGUCUGAUUAGCUAGUUGGUGAGGUAACGGCCCACCAAGGCGACGAUCAGUAGCUGGUCUGAGAGGAUGAUCAGCCACAUUGGGACUGAGACACGGCCCAAACUCCUACGGGAGGCAGCAGUGGGGAAUAUUGGACAAUGGGCGCAAGCCUGAUCCAGCCAUGCCGCGUGAGUGAUGAAGGCCCUAGGGUUGUAAAGCUCUUUUACCCGGGAAGAUAAUGACGGUACCGGGAGAAUAAGCCCCGGCUAACUUCGUGCCAGCAGCCGCGGUAACAC
rnacentral:rRNA from 1 species